UACGGAGGGUGCAAGCGUUAUCCGGAUUUACUGGGUUUAAAGGGUGCGUAGGUGGGCAGGUAAGUCAGCGGUGAAAUCUCCGAGCUUAACUCGGAAACUGCCAUUGAUACUAUCUGUCUUGAAUUAUCUGGAGGUGAGCGGAAUAUGUCAUGUAGCGGUGAAAUGCUUAGAUAUGACAUAGAACACCAAUUGCGAAGGCAGCUCACUACGGAUACAUUGACACUGAGGCACGAAAGCGUGGGGAUCAAACAGG
rnacentral:rRNA from 1 species